rnacentral:rRNA from 1 species
AGAACGAACGCUGGCGGCGUGGAUAAGACAUGCAAGUCGAACGCGAUUUAUCAGGUUAGCAAUAACUUGGUAGAUUGAGUGGCGAAAGGGUGCGUAACACGUGGGAAUUUACCAAGAAGUGGGGAAUAGCUCGACGAAAGUCGAAUUAAUACCGCAUGUGAUCGAAAGAUCAAAGUCGGGGACCGCAAGGCCUGACGCUUUUUGAGAAGCCCGCGGCCCAUCAGCUAGUUGGUGAGGUAAUGGCUCACCAAGGCUAUGACGGGUAGCUGGUCUGAGAGGACGACCAGCCACACUGGAACUGAGACACGGUCCAGACACCUACGGGUGGCAGCAGUCGAGAAUUUUUCACAAUGGACGAAAGUCUGAUGGAGCGACGCCGUGUGGAGGAUGAAGGUUCUUGGAUUGUAAACUCCUGUCACUGCAGACAAGGGUACGUUCGUUAAUAGCAAACGUAUUUGAUGGUAUGCGGAGAGGAAGGGACGGCUAACUCUGUGCCG